AUGACCAACUCAACUAGUGAGCUAAAAAAAUGUUCGUAAGUAUCACGGUCUUUCACAAAUUUAGGUUGCCAAUGGUAGUAAUUUACCCAUUACCAAAGUUGGGGAUAUUAUCAAACUUUCAAGAAUGUUUUUGUAUCACCCAAGCGCUCUACUAGUCUAUUUCAGUUGGUCAAUUAGUAGAUGACAAUUGUGAUGUGAAAUUUUCUCGUAACGGCUGCCUUAUGCAGGAUUAGGUGUCGGGGACGAUAAUCGCGAAGGGGUC
rnacentral:lncRNA from 1 species